rnacentral:rRNA from 1 species
CCUACGGGUGGCAGCAGUGAGGAAUAUUGGUCAAUGGCCGGAAGGCUGAACCAGCCAUGCCGCGUGAAGGUCAGUGCCCUAUGGGCGUUAAACUUCUUUUGUGCGGGAGCAAUAAUGGUCACGUGUGGCCAGACGAGAGUACCGUACGAAUAAGCAUCUGCUCACUCCGUGCCAGCAGCGGCGGUGAUACGGGGGGUGCAAGCGUUAUCCGGAUUUAUUGGGUUUAAAGGGUGCGUAGGCUGGGAGGUAAGUCAGCGGUGAAAUGCCCCCGCUCAACGGGGUGAAGUGCCAUUGAUACUGGCGUGCUGGAAUGCGCGUGCAGUGGGAGGAAUGUGUGGUGUAGCGGUGAAAUGCAUAGAUAUCACACAGAACACCGAUUGCGAAGGCAUCUCACGAAUCCGCGAUUGACGCUGAUGCACGAAAGCGUGGGUAUCAAACAGGAUUAGAUACCCGAGUAGUC